rnacentral:rRNA from 1 species
GACCGCGAGGUAGAGCAAAUACUCAAAAAAACAAUCUCAGUUCAGACUGCAGGCUGCAACUCGCCUGCACGAAGUCGGAAUUGCUAGUAAUCGUAGGUCAGCAUACUACGGUGAAUACGUUCCCGGGCCUUGUACGCACCGCCCGCCAAACCAUGAGAGUUGGCAACACCCGAAGUCGGUAGUCUAACCGCAAGGAGGACGCCGCCGAAGGUGGGGUUGAUGAUUAGGGUUAAGUCGUAACAAGGUAAC